GAUGAACGCUGGCGGCGUGCUUAACACAUGCAAGUCGAACGGUGAAGGCGGAGCUUGCUCUGCUGGAUCAGUGGCGAACGGGUGAGUAACACGUGAGCAAUCUGCCCCUGACUCUGGGAUAAGCGCUGGAAACGGCGUCUAAUACUGGAUACGAGCUGCGAAGGCAUCUUCAGCAGCUGGAAAGAACUUCGGUCAGGGAUGAGCUCGCGGCCUAUCAGCUUGUUGGUGAGGUAACGGCUCACCAAGGCGUCGACGGGUAGCCGGCCUGAGAGGGUGACCGGCCACACUGGGACUGAGAGACGGCCCAGAGUCCUACGGGAGGCAGCAGUGGGGAAUAUUGCACAAUGGGCGAGAGCCUGAUGCAGCAACGCCGCGUGAGGGACGACGGCCUUCGGGUUGUAAACCUCUUUUAGCAGGGAAGAAGCGAAAGUGACGGUACCUGCAGAAAAAGCGCCGGCUAACUACGUG
rnacentral:rRNA from 1 species